AAUUCCCAGGAAAUCAUAAUCAUCCAUUGGGAAACCCUCCUGGUUUUCCUCUUCCAGACACAGGCAGGGAUUUCAGCCGCCAAAGAAGCCUUUGAGCAGCCCCAGGGGUGAUGGGAGAUAAAAAUCAUCCUGAAAAACAGCUGGGAGACAAAAAUCAUCCUGAAAACCAGCUGGGAAACGUGUCAGGGAAUGAUCCAAUCCCAUUGGGGAAGAACUGAUUUCCGUGGAUAAACAGGAAUAUCAAAGGGUGCAGCACAGGACCUUGCUCAGCUCUGGGGGAUCCAGGAGGCAGCAGAAAUGUUUGUCAGGCUUGGGGCAGCAGCAGAACCCGCACAGCGCUCCAGAAAAGUGGGAAAGGAGCAAAAUCCACAUGGGAAAACAUCGGGAAGAGGAUUUGUGCUAUCAUUCCCUGAGGGAUCAGGGGAGCUUCGCUCUGAGCAGCAGCACAGGGGAUGUGGUGCUUUGGGAACACCUCCAGGAGGGGAAAAUCCCACUGCUGGGAUUGGAUAAUUCACUCCAGAAUCCCAAAUCCAGGCUGGAAGGGGCAGGGUGGGCUGGUUCCUGACAUCCCUGUGGAAUUGCUAUUUCGGGAAGGACAAAGGGGAGGGAAGCAUGAGAGCAGCACAAGGGGCUGUGGUGCCUCAGGAGCACAUCCAGGAGGGGCAAAUCCCAGUCUGGGGUUGGAUAAUUCAGUCCAGAAUCCCAAAUCCAGGCUGGAAGGGCUGGUUCCUGGCAUCCCUCAGGAAGAGCUAUUUCGGGAAGGACAAAGGGGAGCAGAUGGGCAGCAGCAACAGCCACCAGGCCUGGGGAGAGCAGCUCCGAGGAGGCCAUCUGUGCUCCAGCAUCCCAAAAAUCCCUCCCAGCCCUCCUGAUGCCUUGGGAGGAGCUCAGGAAAAGCAGGAGAGGGAGGCUCCAGCCACAGGGUCCGCUAGAAAUCGCUCUCUGAGGAAAAGAGGGAUUUUCUUCUGAAGGAAAACUGCUCAGGUCAGUCCCACCCCACCCAGUGCUUGGGAUGGGAACAGGGACAGGAGGAAAACCGGGAGCACGGAGGAGUCUCUGGGGCUUGACUGGGACAGGCCAACCAUGAAAUUCCUGACGGUGUUUGCAGGGUUAAUUAAGGAAGAUCAGAGAUUGCAGGCAGGAGAGGAACACAUUCCCAGCAAGGCAGGGGGUUUCCAGCUAGGAAGAACAUUUAGUGGGGAGAGAUGGAUGUGACACGAGGAGAUUGGGAUCUCCAGGGCUCUGAGGACACCACAACCCCAGGGACAGGGAGGUCACCCCUGCCCCACCCCACACCUUGGGAGACGAAUCUGAGGCUGCAGAGACAGCCCUGAGCAAUCCCACAAAUUCCAGCAUUCCCUGCAUUCCUUUCACACCUUCUGUGAGGUAUUUCUGCCCUGGAAUUCACUGGGGCCCGAUUCCCAAAAUUCAGAUUCCAACAAAUCUGGCCAUUGGUGCUUGGAGCCCUGAGCCCCUUCACUUGGAGGGAGGAAGAGCUUCUCUUCCUCAGGGAUCCAGGGAAAUUCCCUUCAGGAAUGCCCAGGAAAUGCCUCCAAAAGUGGGAUUUCAGUGGUUAGAGCCCUUCCCUUGGAGGCAGGGAAAGCUCCUCUUCCUCAGGGAUUCAGGGAAGCUCAUGCCUGCCCAAGGGAUGCUCCCAAAAAUGGGAUUUCAGUGCUUGAACCCCACACAAAUCUCUUCGUUUCCCAUGGCACACCUGCAGAAGGAAGUCUGGGAAGUUCCUGAGGAUGAGAAGGAAUUUCUGGACCACCCACAGGGAUGAGAGGCAAAGACUCCUGAAAAUAAUCACUGAUUGAACAACAAGUAUUUUCAUCUGUGAAUCAACAGUGUGUGUGUGUUGGGAAAAUGGGGAAAGAGCAGCAGAGAUCCUGGUGAAGGAGAAAUUUUGGAGUCUGAUCCAUUCCGCUCCUGUGAUUACAAAUGAACUCAAUCGUCUGAACCUAAAAGAGCCAAUUUAAACUCCUCUUAGAUUAAAAAAAGAGAAUUCUCUGACAGAGAACCUGGAAAUAUCGACAGAAAAGCAAAAUGUGUGGUUGCAACUAAUUUAGAUAUUGAACAACCCACCGAGUUCACAUCUCCUGGUUUCCCACAGGAAUGGGAAAAAUGGAAUGGGAGAGAUUGUGGUGAUUUCCUCAUGUGACCAAGGAACUUCUUCAUCCAUGGGGAAAAUCUGGCCUUUGUUAAUAUCUGGGAAUUUUUUCCUCGUUCGCUCCUGUUUGGAUGUGGAAUUCUGAUUGCUGCAGGAGUUUGGAGGGCAGCAGGUGGGGUUUGCUGCUGUCUCUUCGGGGUGGAUUUUCUUGACCCCAAACACCUCAAACCCAAAAUUUGUCCCGUUCCCGAGUGGAAAAGAGGAGAGGGAUCCUCUCCCGCUGGGAUGGCUGUUGGGACAGAUGGGCUGGGUCACCCUCCAGCAGCUCCUGAUUUCCUGGGAGGCCUGGACAGGUGCCCAACCUUUAGACCAUGAAAUGAGGGAAAAUGAAUUCCCUUCUCAUGUGAAAAAAAUCCAAACCCAAAACGUGAAGAUGUAUAAGCUUUAAGCAGGGUUUUAAACCCUGCAGAAUUCCCCUCUCCAGGGGAUCCCCUGUUUUCCAGCACCUUUCCUUUGGGAAGAUUUUAUCAGGAAAGCAGAGGAUGGAUUCAGGCUCCUCAUUCCCCAAAUCCAGGCUGCUUUUGGGACACCACAAUCCCUGUUUUUCUUUUCUCCUCCUGCUUUCUCUUUCAUGUGGAUUUGCAGGAGUACCAGAAGCAGAGGGGAAACCUGUGAGAUUAUUGGAAUUGCCACCUUUGCUCUACUAAUCCUGACAAUUAAAACCAUCUCUAAGCCAUUUCUCUGGCAUUUUCCUAGGAGAAAACAUACCCAAAAAAUCACUUUUCCCACCUGGAAGAGUGUCCAACCGGGCCACAUUUACAUUUCAGGUAUCUGGAGCAUAGGAGAAAACCUUAGGAUUGUUGGAAUUGCCUCCUUUGCUCUCCAGUAUCUAUCCAGAUAGCAACAACAAAAAAACAUCUCUAAGCCACUUAUCUGACAUUUUCCUAGGAAAAAAAAACCUACCAAAAAUGUCUUUUUUCCCACCUGGAGGAGCAUCCAACCUGGGCCACAUUUGCACUUCAGGUACAGGGAGGAGAGGAGGAAACCUUGGGAUUAUUGGAAUUCCCUCCAUUGCUCUCAUAACCCUGACAAUUAAAAUCAUCUCUAAGCCACUUUUUCAACAUAUUACUAGGGAAAAAAAAUACAAAAAAUGUCCUUUUCUUCCCACCUGGAAGAGCAGCAACCCAGGAGAUAUCGCAAAGCCCUUGCCAAUAUUCCGGGACAACAGGAACAAUUUGGAUCAGGGAACAUGCAGCCCCUUCCCUAUCCCAUUAAAACCGGGAAUUUUACUUUAUACACUUCUUUUUCUCACAGACUGAAGGAACAUCUCCCGAAAGACUUCCCAAGCCACCUGAGAGCUUUUGGGAAUGCUCCUGCUCCAUGGUCUGCUCCAUGUCCUGCUACUGUCCCCAGGAGCCAUUCCCGGUGACAAUGACACUGAGCCACCACCACUCAGCAUCCCCACAUUCCCUGCUCCCUGGUUCACACCCCCUGGAAUAUUUGGUCCCCAAAACAGGAAGGGAGGGCUGAGAUCAUUCCCAAACACACCAAGGAAGGGGGAAAACCAAACUAUUCCUCAGAUGGAAAUUUUCUUUUUUCCGCUGGCUUGUUUUUUUUCAAGUA
rnacentral:lncRNA from 1 species